GUCUUUUUGCACAAAACGGUCAAUCGCGCUCCACUCGUGUGUGGCUUGAUUGGAUUUUCACGGACCUAAAAAGAGAAGAGGAAAAAAAGGUAAAAAUCUGAACGCCGUAAACCAUGAGAGCUGGGGUUACUAGGACUACCACAUGAAUGGCUUAGGGCAUUGCUGGGCAACAGAGCCAGCAGCGGACAGAUGAAGUGCAUCUGGGACUCAAAGACUAUCAAGUCCCAAGGUAGGCAAGCAGACAGAGCUCAGACAGAGCUCGGCUGCCUGAGGCGCCGAAGUGGCAAUCCUGCUGUGGCGAUCCUCCGGUUGUCUGCGGAACGUCAACCCCUCCCCUGUGUAGCGGAGUCAGCCCCUCGCGCCCGGCAGCAGCCAACCCUGCCCCGGGUGCUUGGGGAAGCAGCUGUCUUAGGAGACGCUCGGCUCCCAGGUGUGCCUGGAGAAGCCACUCCGCCCCAGCAUGGGGAUCGAGGCAACAGGGCAGGCCUGGCUGGGCAUCUCCCUAGCCUACAGCCACCGAUCAACUCCUGGUAACCAGCUGAAGGCCGCGGGCUGGGAUCAGAGUCCCAGAGUCAGGCUGCGGGCCCACGGGGGUGCAGGCGCCGGCCAGGAACAGGCGGGGAAGGCGCGGGGCCCACCUGCAGCUUGACUAGGGAGCGGCGGCGGCGGCAGUGGCGGCAGCUUGGGAGUAACGAGACGUCACCGCCGGCAGCCGCGAACCGGAAACCUCCGGCGCCCAAGCCGGGCCAGGGGGCGCCCGGGAGCUGCCGCGACACCUUGGCCCGGGGCUCAAGGGCGGACCGGAAUGCCUUGACCACACCCAGCGACCAGAGUCUGGAAGGCACUCUUGGACACCCAUCAGCCAAGGUUACGGACACCCUGUGACCCACAGCCUGAUCCACUGGGGACACCCGCCUACAUCCCCUCCGGGACGUGGGACACCGGGGUGCAAGUCCCUGGCUGCUCCUCCAGGCGCUUGGCAGGUCUCCAGCACCAGAGAGUAGGCAGGCAGACUACGGGACUGUUUACAUAUCACUCAGGGUUGUAAUUUUAUUGCUUUCCCAUUCUGAGCAGAAGUUGCUGCCCUGAUUUUCAAAUGAGACUGGAUGUAGUGGGACACUCUCUGGUGGGUAGUGAAAAUACUGUAGAUUCCAGGGAAUUGUACCUGUCCAUGAAGUGUCCAAGUCCAAUGGCUACUCUUGUUUAAUUUUUACGUUUUUGCUAUUUCAUGAUGAUUUCUAACUGCUUGUUUAGGUGAUGAUUACGUGUAUGCAUAUCUCCCAUUCUCUUCCAUUCUUGACACCUUGCAGUUCCAGCAUGCCUUCUGGAGCAUGGGGGAGACAGCCAUUAAAUUAUGAUUAAAGGGUUCAAGGGCUGACAGGUGGCUUAGAGUUUUCAAAGCGCUUGUGGGAGCAAGCCUGACGACCCACGUUGAAUCCUAGGAUCCUACCACGAAAGGGGAGAACCCACUCCCUGACCUCGUUCUCUGACCUCCUGGAUACUCACACCUUCCUAUACAAUACUAAUAAAUGAAAAAAAGGACCCAGCUUAUAUUAAUGGUGUCAAAAUAAACAUGCUCAGAUGCAUUCAGUUCACAAGGCUUACAUGUCUUAUAAAUUUUAAGAAGCUACUAUGAGAACUGAAACCAGAACUGGUGGUACAGGCCUGCUGUUCCAGCUACUCCACAGGCUGAGUCAUGGAAAAAAUUUAAAAAAAAUAAAAAAUAAAAGGAAGUUCAAGACACCCAGACAACUUAGUGACCACGGAGAUGAGUGCUAUCCUAACAUGUGCACGACCCCAGGUUCAAUCCCCAGUAACAUACAACAUACACAUGGGCUGGGCACUUUAGGGAAGGCCUUUCUUUAAUCCUAGCUAGCACUUGGAAGGCAAAGGCAAAUGGAUCUCUGUAAGUUUGAGGCCAGCCUGAUCUAUGUCGCAAGUUCCAGACCAGCUGUGUUUUAUAUGUGUAUGUGUUUAAUAUGUAUAUAAUUUGUUUAAUAUAUAUCCUGUUCAGUAUGUAUUGUGUUAGCAUGUCAUUUACAUGUGCCAAACACACAUUAAAGAACAAAAGAACAUUACAGUAGUUUUUAAAAUGCAUUUUAAAAUUUUUAUGUAUAGGUAUUUUGUGCGUGUAUGCACACACGGCCAGAAGAGGGCAUCAGAUCUCUGGAACCGGAGUUACAGUUAUUAGCUGCUAUGUGUGUACUAGGACUUGAACUCAGUCCUCUGAAAGAGUACCAGUGCUCUUAACUCAGCCACUAACCACACUAGUAAGCCUGGCAAAGGCGAUGGAACCAGGGCGCUUGUGUGACGUGACCACAGCACAACUUUAGGAGACUGUUUGUUUCAGCUUAGUUGGUACUCUACCGGUUUCGUUGUUUUUCAGGAAAUGCAGCUUCCCAUUACAGCAAAACAUGUAAUUAUGGCUAUUUUGAAUCAACUUUAAAAGGAGCUUGAGGUGCAAUGAUAUACAGUUAAAACCAAGUACAUGAAGUAGGUGAAAUGUUUGCUAAACACAGAUUAACCUAAUGGCAAAAAUAAACUAAUCACACUGGCAUGCUAUCUACAUGGGGCUCUUUCAGGUACUAACAUAUAUUAAGGAGUUAUUGAGACUCAUAGGAAGCAAGAAAUGGAAUUUUAAAAUGAGACUGAGUUCUGUAUUACUGUAAUAGCUAUUUCCAAUUUCCUCAAAAUAUAUCAUUAUAAAAAAUUUAAAUUCUGACUCUUCAAAAUGAUCUUUUAAGACAGGACUUCUCUGUGUAGCCUGACUGUCCUGGAACUCACUCUGUAGACCAAGAAGGUCUCAAACUCAAAGAUCUGCCUGCUGGGAUUAAAGGCAAGCCACCUGGCAUAAAUUGAUACUGAUAUAGACUCAAAUCCCACCAACAGAAAAUUGAGUGAAUGAGUUAGCUCUGUUAGCUUUCAGUCUCUGAAACAAACCUCUGAAAUAACAACAUUAUAACUGACUUUUUCCUCAGUUCAAAGAGUUAGUGCAUGGACUACAGAGAUGACUGAAUGGGCUUGCUACAGAGAACCAACCAAAUGUAGAACUGUGCCCGUACAGAAAGUAACUAAUGGUGUCUUUGUACACUGCACAUUACUAGGUGGAAAAUGAUGCUAUCACUUACCUGAGGGGUACACAUCUACACACACAGGCACAAAUAUACACACCAAACAUGGACACACAAUAAAACACACAUAGACACAACACAUACCUCCCAAACAACACACCACAUCUACAUAUACACUUACACACACUUCACAGAUGAAGUAAUAUUUAAAAUGUUUACUAAACAGAAGGACUGCUGGUAUAAGAGGAAAAGGGAUCUUGAAUGAUGCAGACAGUUACAUUAUAAAACAAAAUUUAAAAAAUAUGCAGCAAUCCUUGAAAGCUGAAAUGGACCUAAAUGUUUUCCAGUUGAUGCAUGUGAGCACAAAGGAACUACUCAAACAACUUCAAAACAUACUUUGUGUCUCCUUAGAAGACCUUCAAAGAUGGGGAGAAUUAAAAAACAACCUAGGCUGUGCUCAGCAACUGAACUGUUAGUGACAAUCCUAGCAUUGUAUGACAAGCCAAAGUGAAGUAGCUAGGAUGAAAUAGCUGGCAUUGUGAGGGAAGAAACACUCAGGAAGUCAUACACAUAUUCUGCACUUCUCAAUUUUCCUGCAAGUCUCAACAAUCUCUCUUGCAUAUCCCACCACACAGGUCUGUGUACAAAGGCGCACUUCUGUGACUUAUGGUAAAAUGAAAUAUGUAAGCAGACUUUGAAAUCUUUAUUUAAAUCAGACCCAUGCUUAUUUACAGUACCUUUCAUUUGGAAUUAAAAUAUCAAUCUUUUAGUUUAAAUCAUACUCUUAGCCCUUUACAAAAUAUGUAGCUGUUUUUUGUGGGGUUUUUUGGUUUUUGUUUUGUUUUGUUUUGUUUUGUUUUUUUUAGUUUAAAACUGGCCAAGGAUAAGAAAACUUGGACCAGCUUUUUUGUAAUGAGAAUGAGAAAUGAUCCCUGGAACAUACAUGUCUAUAAUACUAAACAGUAGUAAAAUAAGACAUUUUGCACCCAUUUCUCCUUAAUUUGGGGGCUUUGUUUUCAAUAACUACAAAUUGUGUGCAUCUAGAACAUUUAUUUACUUUAUGUGUAUGGGUGUUUUGUCUGCUUCUAGGCCUGUGCACCACUGUGUGCCUGGUGUCUGAGGACACCAGAAGAGGGUGCUGGAUCCCCUGGGACUGGAGAUACAGAUGGUUGUGAGCCACCACAUGGAUGCUGGGAAUUGAACUCAGGCCCUCUGGAAGAUCAGCAAGUGCUCUCUAGGCCAAAAUCAUGUGCUUUUAAAUAAGCAUUCAAAUUAAACUUUCAAUUAAUGAAAUAACUGAUGGGAAACAUACUUCCUAAAUAUUCCUUACAUUUACUUAACUACAAAAACCAAAAAUUUUUCUAAGUCAGUAAUCAUCCACACUUAGCAUAUUUUGAAGUGCAAUGUCGUGUAUUUGGUACAUCCCACAUGCUGAAUGCUAUAGAGUGUUCUCAAGAGAGGCCCAGCAGCAGCAGCAGUCUCCACGUGCUCACCUCCAACACCUGGGCCUCUUAAUUCCAAGUAUCUGAGGGGUUUUUUAUUUUUUGGUUUUUUUUUUUGUUUUGUUUUUUGAAUUUUGUUUUCUCCCCCAAGAAUGGAAGCAUCUAACUGCAAACUAUUUUAUGCAUUAGAAUAUUCUACUAGCAUAUGGGUAGAUAAUUUUCAAUGAUACAUAACAAAGAAAAUUAAAGAGCAACCAAUGCUUAAUAAGUCUUCUGCCACUUACUGGAUUAUUUACAAGAAAUUUAUUCAGUGCCCCUUAUCAACUUGAAAUGUACUGAAAGGUCUAAGUAUAUUCUAGCCAACAUAAGCAGUGUGAACAUCAGCUAUUCACUUACAGAUGAAGCAGAUAUAAAUGGUUGCAUGUCAUUUUAUACAUAAGUAAGUUGAAAACAUUUUAAGAUUUUUAAGUGGGCUGCUUUUAUUAAUGUUAUUAAGAACCAAGAAAAAUAUUUAAUGUUGAUAUUAUAAAAUCUAGAAUACAGGAAAUUUUAAUUUCAAAAUCUUUUCUCUGCCACAUUCCCAAAUUAUUUGUUUAAAAAGUAUUUUACAUUUCCCAAACUACCAGUUCUAAAUGCUUGCCAACAAUUUUGAAAUUCAGGUUUCCUGUCUCUUUUAACACUAUGUAUUUAUUGCUGUCAGACUUAUCAUCUUGCCCCUGAAUAUUAAAACAUUUUAAAGCU
rnacentral:lncRNA from 1 species